rnacentral:rRNA from 1 species
UACGUAGGGUGCGAGCGUUAAUCGGAAUUACUGGGCGUAAAGCGUGCGCAGGCGGUUCGUUGUGUCUGAUGUGAAAUCCCCCGGGCUCAACCUGGGAAUGGCGAUGAAGACUGCAAGGCUAGAAUCUGGCAGAGGGGGGGUAGAAUUCCACGUGUAGCAGUGAAAUGCGUAGAGAUGUGGAGGAACACCGAUGGCGAAGGCAGCCCCCUGGGCCAAUACUGACGCUCAUGCACGAAAGCGUGGGGAGCAAACAGG